rnacentral:tRNA from 1 species
CAUUAAGAAGCUAUGUACCCAGCACUAGCCUUUUAAGCUAGAGAAAGAGGAUAUUCCCCUCCUUAAUGA